rnacentral:misc_RNA from 1 species
AACGGUCUAUACCUGCGGUACCUGCGGAAGGAUCAUUACACAAUAAUAUAUGAAGGCUGCUCGCGGCUGGAGUAUUUAUUACCCUUGUCUUUUGCGCACUUGUUGUUUCCUGGGCGGGCUCGCCCGCCACCAGGACCACAUACAAACCUUUUUUAUGUAGUUGCAAUCAGCGUCAGUAUAACAAAUGUAAAUCAUUUACAACUUUUAACAAUGGAUCUCU